rnacentral:rRNA from 1 species
GAUGAACGCUGGCGGCGUGCUUAACACAUGCAAGUCGAACGGAAAGGCCCUGCUUUUGUGGGGUUCUCGAUUGCCGAACGCGUGAGUAUCACGUGUGUAUCCUGCCCUUGUCUUUCGGAUAACUUCACGAAACUGGGGCUAAUAUCGGAUAGGAUCUCCUGCUCCAUGGUGGGCGUUGGAAAGUUUCGGCGGUUGGGGAUGGACUCGCGGCUUAUCAGCUUGUUGGCGGGGUAGGUGCUUACCAAGGCUUUCACGGAUAGCCGACCUGGGAGGGUGACCGGGGACCUGGGGCCUAAGGGAGGCCGCAGUGUGCUAUGUGAGGCAGCAGUGGGGAGUAUGACACAGUGGGCGGAAGCGUGAGACGGAGACGCCCGGUGCGUGAUGACGGCCUUUGGGGUGUAAACCGCUUUCGCCUGUGACGAAGCGUGAGUGACGGUAAUGGGUAAAGAAGCACCGGCUAACUACGUG